rnacentral:rRNA from 1 species
CCUACGGGUGGCAGCAGUGAGGAAUAUUGGUCAAUGGGCGCGAGCCUGAACCAGCCAAGUCGCGUGAGGGAAGACGGUCCUAUGGAUUGUAAACCUCUUUUGUCGGGGAGCAAAAGACGCACGCGUGGCGGUCCGAGAGUACCCGAAGAAAAAGCAUCGGCUAACUCCGUGCCAGCAGCCGCGGUAAUAAGGAGGAUGCGAGCGUUAUCAGGUUUUAUUGGGGUUAAUGGGUGCGAAGGCGGAAGAUCAAGUCAGCGGUAAAAUUGAGAGGCUCAACCUCUUCGAGCCGUUGAAACUGGUUUUCUUGAGUGAGCGAGAGGUAUGCGGAAUGCGUGGUGUAGCGGUGAAAUGCAUAGAUAUCACGCAGAACUCCGAUUGCGAAGGCAGCAUACCGGCGCUCAACUGACGCUCAUGCACGAAAGUGUGGGUAUCGAACAGGAUUAGAUACCCCAGUAGUC